GUGGGGAAUCUUGCGCAAUGGGCGAAAGCCUGACGCAGCCAUGCCGCGUGAAUGAUGAAGGUCUUAGGAUUGUAAAAUUCUUUCACCGGGGACGAUAAUGACGGUACCCGGAGAAGAAGCCCCGGCUAACUUCGUGCCAGCAGCCGCGGUAAUACGAAGGGGGCUAGCGUUGCUCGGAAUUACUGGGCGUAAAGGGCGCGUAGGCGGACAGUUUAGUCAGAGGUGAAAGCCCAGGGCUCAACCUUGGAAUUGCCUUUGAUACUGGCUGUCUUGAGUACGGGAGAGGUGUGUGGAACUCCGAGUGUAGAGGUGAAAUUCGUAGAUAUUCGGAAGAACACCAGUGGCGAAGGCGACUCACUGGCCCGUUACUGACGCUGAGGCGCGAAAGCGUGGGGAGCAAACAGGAUUAGAAACCCCAGUAGUCC
rnacentral:rRNA from 1 species